UUGACCUCGGGUGGUCCACCAGCCUCGGCCUCCCAAAGUGCUGGGAUUAUAGGAGUGAACUACCAUGCUUGGCCCAAUUACAGAUUUUUUAAGUUUAGGUUUUGACAGUAGAUCUCACCUCAGCCUUUCUCUCUCUGUGUCACGCAGCCCACAGGGGAGACUGUAAGGUCAGUGUGGGGGCUAAUGAAUAAAUGCUACAUGGUGCCCACUGAGGUGGGUAAGGGCUAGGCACUUCUCUUCCCCUGGAGUGGGGUGGCUGUGCUGGGUACCCUUGGCAGACACGGUAAGGGGGACUGCACCUGGAGAGGGUGGGCCAGUUGGGGAAGGACUGCUCAGCACUCGUAACUGUGUGUCACCCCUCGCACUUCUCUCUGCAGAGACACAGGAGGGGGAAGAAGCCAGCCUCUGAGCUCAUGACCCCCAGGGGGCCUGGAGGACUGAAUGAUGUUGCUCCCCAAGGAGGAGGCUGCCAUCUUGUCUCAGGAGAGAGAGCAGGUGAAGUCCCCAUGGGAGGAAGCAUCUAGCCCCAUUCCUGCUGAGCAAGAGGUGGCAGGGACCCCAGGCUGGGAGGUAAGGACAGCCUGAGGCUUCAGCUGGAACAUCUCCAGCAUGAGUCCAACUGAGCAGGCAGAGAGGCACUGCUGGAGGCUGGCUCAACCCCAAGACGAGCAGGCCAAGCUGCCAUUUUAGGUGAGCGAGGACAUCUGUGCAGAGCUGAGACACAACAGCCAUGUGUGAACAGACUGGGUCUCAUCCUGGCCUCCCCUGACUUCAUGUGGACAGAGCCUGUUUCCCUGUCUGUGCAGCACAGAACCUGUCUGAUCUCAUUGCUAGGUCCCUCUUCUUCCUGCCAGGAAAAUAAACAGGUUCCAAAGGAAGUUGCUGCGUCUCCAGCUGAGGCCUCUGAAGAGG